UCCCGACGACCCUAGUCGCAUUCAACUUUAUUGGGUCUAAAACAUUCGUAGCUGGUGUCGCAAGUUUUAUGUUAAAUCGUUGCUCUUAAAGUAAUGGCUGCAUAAAAUACUACGAUGCUUGGGACUGGGAGAUGUAGAGAGUACGCAGAAGGUAGUGGUAAAAUAUUUUAAUCUUUUGCGGACUAACAAGGGCGAAGGCACUCUACAAGAACAGCUCCGACGGUGAGGAAUGAAGGCCAAGGGCGCAAAACGGAUUAGAUACCCGUGUAGUCUUGGCUGUAAACACUGUAGACUAGAUAUUGUGAUCUCUUAGGGAGAUUGCAGUAUUGCAGCGAAGGCGUAAGUCUACUACCUGGGGAGUACAGCCGCAAGGCCGAA
rnacentral:rRNA from 1 species